rnacentral:rRNA from 1 species
UACAGAGGUCUCAAGCGUUGUUCGGAUUCAUUGGGCGUAAAGGGUGCGUAGGCGGCGCGGUAAGUCGGGUGUGAAAUCUCGGAGCUUAACUCCGAAACUGCAUUCGAUACUGCCGUGCUUGGGGACUGGAGAGGAGACUGGAAUUUACGGUGUAGCGGUGAAAUGCGUAGAUAUCGUAAGGAAGACCAGUGGCGAAGGCGGGUCUCUGGACAGUUCCUGACGCUGAGGCACGAAGGUCAGGGGAGCAAACGGG